ensembl:lncRNA
GAGGGGUAGAAGAGGGGAGGGGUAGAAUGGGGUAGUAGGGAAGGAGGGGUGGGACCUCCUUGCGGACCACUGUCCCCCCGGGGAAGUAGUUCCAUCUUUUUGCAUAUUUUUUAUUUCCAGGCACCUGCAGGUCAAGAGACCUCAACAUGAGGUAAGCUAGGUACUACUGUGUUUAACUGUUCUUAGGUUCACCAUUCCUGUGUUUGCCUAUUUUUACCGCUUAUGAGAUCAUGUCCACGCUGAAUUUGUGUCUUUAAAAGAGUCAACACGUCUUAAAAGAAGACAUAAAGAUAUUAGCUAAAAUAAGUAGGAUAAGUAGCAUCUUUUUAUUGAUUAGUAGAAGGAAACUUUCCAGAUUACACAGACUAAAUAAAAGACACUAAUCACUAAAUUCAAAUUCAAACACUCACAGAAAUGGCACUGGAUCGUGUGUGUGUGUG